CGGCAUCGUUUGAUUUUGAAAGCUCCGGCGGUUUGAGAUGAGUAUGCGUCUGAUUAGCUAGUUGGUGAGGUAACGGCUCACCAAGGCGACGAUCAGUAGGGGACCUGAGAGGACUAACCCCCACACUGGUACUGAGACACGGACCAGACUCCUACGGGAGGCAGCAGUAAGGAAUAUUGGUCAAUGGAGGCAACUCUGAACCAGCCAUGCCGCGUGCAGGAUGACGGCCCUAUGGGUUGUAAACUGCUUUUAUACAAGAGAAAACCCUGGUACGUGUACCAAGUUGAUAGUAUUGUAAGAAUAAGCAUCGGCUAACUUCGUG
rnacentral:rRNA from 1 species